rnacentral:rRNA from 1 species
GUCGAGCGGGAACCUCAGGAGGGGUAACCCUUCUGAGGGGAGAGCGGCGAACGGGUGAGUAACACGUGGGCAACCUGCCCCGGACACCGGGAUAACCCAGGGAAACCUGAGCUAAUACCGGAUACUCCGGCGUGAUCGCAUGGUCGCGCCGGGAAAGCUCCGACGGUCCGGGAUGGGCCCGCGGCCUAUCAGCUUGUUGGUGGGGUAACGGCCCACCAAGGCGACGACGGGUAGCUGGUCUGAGAGGACGGCCAGCCACACUGGGACUGAGACACGGCCCAGACUCCUACGGGAGGCAGCAGUGGGGGAUCUUGCGCUAAUGCGCGAAAGCGUGACGCAGCGACGCCGCGUGGGGGAUGAAGGCCCUCGGGUUGUAAACCCCUUUCGGCAGGGACGAAGGGAAACUGACGGUACCUGCAGAAGAAGUCCCGGCUAACUACGUGCCAGCAGCCGCGGUAACACGUAGGGGACGGGCGUUGUCCGGAUUCAUUGGGCGUAAAGCGCGCGUAGGCGGCUCGGAGAGUCGGGCGUGAAAUGCCGGGGCUCAACCCCGGGACUGCGUCCGAUACUUCCGAGCUGGAGGUAGGUAGGGGAGAUCGGAAUUCCUGGUGUAGCGGUGAAAUGCGCAGAUAUCAGGAGGAACACCGGUGGCGAAGGCGGAUCUCUGGGCCUUACCUGACGCUGAGGCGCGAAAGCUAGGGGAGCAAACAGGAUUAGAUACCCUGGUAGUCCUAGCCGUAAACGUUGGGUGCUAGGUGUGGGCGGACAUCGACCCCGUCCGUGCCGAAGCUAACGCAUUAAGCACCCCGCCUGGGGAGUACGGCCGCAAGGCUAAAACUCAAAGGAAUUGACGGGGGCCCGCACAAGCGGCGGAGCAUGCGGCUUAAUUCGAUGCGACGCGAGAACCUUACCUGGGCUUGACAUGCAGGGCAAAGCGGUGAAAGCCGGCGCUCUACGGAGCCUGCACAGGUGGUGCAUGGCUGUCGUCAGCUCGUGCCGUGAGUGUUGCCUUAAGUGCGCACGAGCGCACCCUUGGUCUUAGUGCACGGGGUAAAGCGGACU